UACGAAGGGGGCUAGCGUUGCUCGGAAUCACUGGGCGUAAAGCGCACGUAGGCGGAUUGCUAAGUCAGGGGUGAAAUCCUGGAGCUCAACUCCAGAACUGCCCUUGAUACUGGCGGUCUCGAGUCCGGGAGAGGUGAGUGGAACUGCGAGUGUAGAGGUGAAAUUCGUAGAUAUCAGGAGGAACACCAGUGGCGAAGGCGGCUUUCUGGACGGUAACUGACGCUGAGACGCGAAAGCGUGGGGAGCAAACAGG
rnacentral:rRNA from 1 species